rnacentral:rRNA from 1 species
UACAGAGGGUGCGAGCGUUGUUCGGAAUUACUGGGCGUAAAGCGCGCGCAGGCGGCUUCUUAAGUCCAUCGGUGAAAUGCCGGGCUCAACCCCGAGUGUGCCGAGGAUACUGGGAGGCUGGAGACGAGUAGAGGCAAGCGGAAUUCCGGGUGUAGCGGUGGAAUGCGUAGAGAUCCGGAAGAACACCGGAGGCGAAGGCGGCUUGCUGGGCUUGGUCUGACGCUGAGGCGCGAAAGCGUGGGGAGCGAACAGG